AACGAACGCUGGCGGCACGCUUAACACAUGCAAGUCGAACGGAAGGUAGCUUGCUAUCUUCAGUGGCGAACGGGUGAGUAACACGUGGGAAUCUGCCUUUUGGUGGGGGAUAACUGGGGGAAACUCCAGCUAAUACCGCAUAAGCUCGGAAACGAGGAAAGAUUAAUUGCCAAAAGAGGAGCCCGCGUCAGAUUAGGUAGUUGGUGGGGUAAUGGCCUACCAAGCCUGUGAUCUGUAGCUGGUCUGAGAGGAUGAUCAGCCACACUGGGAUUGAGAUACGGCCCAGACUCCUACGGGAGGCAG
rnacentral:rRNA from 1 species